rnacentral:siRNA from 1 species
UACAUGGGUGAAAUACAG